rnacentral:rRNA from 1 species
AUCUGGCUAAUACCGAAUGUGGUCUUCUGGCACAUGUCAGGAUGACUAAAGGCGGGGAUUCUUCGGAACCUGCCGCUUGAAGAUGCACCCGCGUGCCAUCAGCUUGUUGGUAGGGUAACGGCCUACCAAGGCUUACGGCUAGCCGGCCUGAGAGGGUGACCGGCCACACUGGGACUGAGACACUGCCCAGACUCCUACGGGAGGCUGCAGUCGAGGAUCAUUCGCAAUGCGCGAAAGCGUGACGAUGCGACGCUGCGUGGGGGAUGAAGGCCUUCGGGUCGUAAACUCCUGUCAUGAGGGAAAAGUAUCCCUGCAAUUAAUAGUUGCGGGGCUCGAUGGUACCUCAAGAGGAAGCCACGGCUAACUCUGUGCCAGCAGCCGCGGUAAUACAGAGGUGGCGAGCGUUGUUCGGAUUUACUGGGCGUAAAGGGUGCGUAGGUGGUUUUGUGUGUCGGAUGUGAAAGCCCAUGGCUCAACCGUGGAAUUGCAUUCGAAACUGCAGGACUAGAGUGCAGGAUGGGAGAGCGGAAUUUUUGGUGUAGCGGUGAAAUGCGUUGAUAUCAAGAAGAACACCGGUGGCGAAGGCGGCUCUCUGGAAUGCUACUGACACUGAGGCACGAAAGCUGGGGGAGCAAACAGGAUUAGAUACCCUGGUAGUCCCAGCCGUAAACGGUGCACACUUGGUGUGGGGAGAUUUAACCCUCUCCGUGCCGGAGCUAACGCGUUAAGUGUGCCGCCUGGGGAGUACGGCCGCAAGGCUAAAACUCAAAGAAAUUGACGGGGGCCCGCACAAGCGGAGGAGCAUGUGGCUUAAUUCGAUGCAACGCGAAGAACCUUACCAGGGCUUGACAUAUACCUGCAAACCCCGUGAAAGCGGGGAAUCCUUCGAGGGUGGUAUACAGGUGCUGCAUGGCUGUCGUCAGUUCGUGCCGUGAGGUGUUGGGUUAAGUCCCGUAACGAACGCAACCCUUGUGACUAGUUGCCACCGGCGGUGAUGAGCCGUCGAGCACUCUAGUCAGACUGCCCGUACAAGCGGGAGGAAGGUGGGGAUGACGUCAAGUCAGUAUGGCCCUUACGCCCUGGGCUGCACACGUGCUACAAUGGUCGGUACAAUGGGAUGCAAUACCGCGAGGUGGAGCCAAUCCUGAAAGCCGGCCCCAGUUCGGAUUGAAGUCUGCAACUCGGCUUCAUGAAGUCGGAUCGCUAGUAACGGCGCAUCAGCUACGGCGCCGUGAAUACGUUCCCGGGCCUUGUACACACCGCCCGUCACAUCAUGAAAGCCGUCUGCACCCGAAGUCGCUAGCCUAACCUGCAAAGGAUGGAGGCGCCGAAGGUGU